GUAGGUGGCAAGCGUUGUCCGGAAUUAUUGGGCGUAAAGCGCGCGCAGGCGGUUCUUUAAGUCUGAUGUGAAAGCCCACGGCUCAACCGUGGAGGGUCAUUGGAAACUGGAGAACUUGAGUACAGAAGAGGAAAGCGGAAUUCCACGUGUAGCGGUGAAAUGCGUAGAGAUGUGGAGGAACACCAGUGGCGAAGGCGGCUUUCUGGUCUGUAACUGACGCUGAGGCGCGAAAGCGUGGGGAGCAAACAGGAUUAGAUACCCUGGUAGUCCACGCCGUAAACGAUGAGUGCUAAGUGUUAGGGGGGUUUUCCGCCCCCCUUAGUGCUGCAGCUAACGCAUUAAGCACUCCGCCUGGGAGUACGACCGCAAGGCUG
rnacentral:rRNA from 1 species